GGGUUCGCUAGUAAUCGCGCAUCAGCCAUGGCGCGGUGAAUACGUUCCCGGGCCUUGUACACACCGCCCGUCAAGCCAUGGGAGCCGGGGGCGCCUGAAGUCCGGGACCGCGAGGACCGGCCUAGGGCGAAACUGGUAACUGGGGCUAAGUCGUAACAAGGUAAC
rnacentral:rRNA from 1 species